rnacentral:rRNA from 1 species
UUUGGGUGACGAGCGGCGGACGGGUGAGUAAUGUCUGGGAAACUGCCUGAUGGAGGGGGAUAACUACUGGAAACGGUAGCUAAUACCGCAUAACGUCGCAAGACCAAAGUGGGGGACCUUCGGGCCUCAUGCCAUCAGAUGUGCCCAGAUGGGAUUAGCUAGUAGGUGAGGUAAUGGCUCACCUAGGCGACGAUCCCUAGCUGGUCUGAGAGGAUGACCAGCCACACUGGAACUGAGACACGGUCCAGACUCCUACGGGAGGCAGCAGUGGGGAAUAUUGCACAAUGGGCGCAAGCCUGAUGCAGCCAUGCCGCGUGUAUGAAGAAGGCCUUCGGGUUGUAAAGUACUUUCAGCGAGGAGGAAGGCGUUAAGGUUAAUAACCUUGGCGAUUGACGUUACUCGCAGAAGAAGCACCGGCUAACUCCGUGCCAGCAGCCGCGGUAAUACGGAGGGUGCAAGCGUUAAUCGGAAUUACUGGGCGUAAAGCGCACGCAGGCGGUCUGUCAAGUCGGAUGUGAAAUCCCCGGGCUCAACCUGGGAACUGCAUCCGAAACUGGCAGGCUAGAGUCUUGUAGAGGGGGGUAGAAUUCCAGGUGUAGCGGUGAAAUGCGUAGAGAUCUGGAGGAAUACCGGUGGCGAAGGC